UGAAGCCUUCUGGUCUUGGACUUUUGUUUGUUGGGAGUUUUUAAAUUCCUCAUUCAAUUUCAGUAGUGUAGUUGGUCUGUUCAUAUUUUUGAUCUCUUCCUGGUUUGGUUUUGGGUGAUCAUAUGUUUCAAAUAAUUUUGCCAUUUUUUUUUCUAGGUUGUCCAUUUGAUUGGCAUAUAGUUGCUUGUAGUAGUUAGUGUCUUAUGGUCCUUUAACAAUUUGUGGUAUUGGUCAUACCCUCUCCUUUUUCAUUUUUGAUUUUAUUGAUUUGGGAUGAGGUAUCAUUAUCCUUACUUUACAAAUGAGACAUCUGAGUGUCAGGAAAAUAAAAUUAUUUGCAUGAGUCUAGACAGUCACUAAAUUGCUGAACCGGAUUGGAAUACCUCCUGUUUGGUUCUAAAGCCUAUGCCAAGCAUAACUAUACAAUUACACUAUUUUUCAUCUUCCUGAAUCCCCCUCUCCCUUUCCUGGUCACACCCAGGCUUAUUGGGGAAAGGUAAAACAAUUACAGGACCUGACAUUGAGAAAGAAUACUGUCCAGCUCAAGCACUAACCAGCUGGUGAUGUUGGCCAAGUCACAUCUGGAUUUUAGGUUACCCAUCUGAAAAAAAGACGUCUGAAUGAAAUGAUGCCUUAUAUUCCUUCCAAGCUCCAUGGUGGCUCGGUGGGUUAAAUGUCCAGUGUUGUUAAUGUUCCUUCCAGUCAAAAUGUCUCUGCCUCUCUACUAAUUACCAAACAAAAACAUCUUUGAUUUUCAUAAAAUUGCUCUCUAGUAAUAAUAACAGUAUGAGCUAUGAUGCAUUACAGUUUACAGUGUAGCUUUGCAUAUUUUAAUAAUAAUAACAAUAACAACAAUAGCAGCUAUCACCUAUUUAGCACUUUCCGUGUUCCAGGCACUCACAUAACCUUUUUUUUUUUUUUUUUGUCUUUUUAGGACUGCUCCUGUGGCAUUUGGAGAUUCCCAGGCUAGAGGCUGAAUCGGAGCUGUAGCUGCUGGCCUAUGCCACAGCUACAGCAACACCAGAUCCAAGCUGUGUCUGCGAUCUACACCACAGCUCGUGGCAAUGCCAAAUUCUUAACCCACUGAGCAAGGCAAGGGAUUGAACCUGCAUCCUCAUGGAUACUCGUCAGAUUUUUUUCUGUUAAGUCACAGCAGGAAUGCCUCAUGUAAUCUUAUGGCAGCACUAAAAGCUUGUCUUCACCUGUAUUGCUUAUCAAAACAUACCUAUCAUAUACAAUUCAUUGUACUACAACAUUUCUUCCAAUACUUUGCACUUACUGUUUUUCCAACUUUGAAGCAGUGUGUACUUACUUAGGAGUCAGGAGUACCCUGAGUAGGUAAAUUACAUCCCUAUGGUCUGGAACACAGUAAAAGCAAAAAGGCUUUUGAUUCAGUGAUUUGUGCUUUCUUCCUUCUGCACCUUCCUGCAGACACUGUUGGCAGAGAAGCUGAAUUGGCACCCUGGGCUUGGGCAACUGCUGCUAAAAGACGGUGUCCUGGGAGCAGAACUUUCCUGUAACUGAGUGAUUCCUCCCGUUGGUUUCAGACCAGUGUAAUUGAUUCUUGUUCUUCUUUUCUUUGUUUUGUCAUUUAAUUCUUUAAUUAAACUCUCUUGUUAUUGGGAUUAAAAUCAUUGUAACCUGCCCCAGUUUUUCUUAUCUUGCUCUUUGAAGAUAUGAGAGUUCUGAACUUUCUAAUCUCAGGGCUGAAUGAAUACAAUUCAACCUCAUGUCUUAGAAUAGGGAUUCUCAUUCAAAGAGGCUGGCUUCUUGGGGGGGUGUGUUACCACAACCUUGAGGUAGAAAGUAAGAGGGAAGAGGGGCUGCCAGUUGAUGAAAAAAGCAUAUUCAGUAUUCUAAGCUAAUUAAAUCAAAACAAAUGAAUUUGUUCUGCUAACCAAGACAUAGAGAGUUAACCCUAUAAAAUCUCCUUUAUGGGCAUACAAGUUAGCAACUCCCAACAAGAUGAGUAUCUCUCUCUCCAGGUCAGAGUUGCCGAAUAUCUGUAAAGUGAUGGGCUACCUUCAAGAGAAAUGUACAGGGUUGUUCUCAAAAGCAUCAUUUGUAAUAGCAAACUUGGAAAGAAUUGGAAAAAAACUAAAGAUCCAUCAAAGGCAGAGUAGCUGAAUAAGGUCAUAUCAUGGAGUGGGGUAUUAUUGGGUCAUUGAUGUGGAUGAACAGAUGUGCUGAUAUUGGCAGAUCUCCAACACACAUUUCAAGUUAAAACCACAACAGCAUGUAGGACACAAUGAAUAGUAUGAUCCCUUUAGUAUAAAAAUGGUCCCAAACCCUAUAAAAGCUGUAAACAUCCCUCUCCCUGUCAUUUACCAGCCUCUCUCUCAUUCUGUUUCUCUCUCCUGUGCUAUGACUUUUUUCUUCUCCUGGAAAGACACAUAAGAAUUAUGUUAGAAGGGUUAGUUUUGGGAAGAGAGACUAUGGGGACGGAAACGUAAAAAUUUCACUUUGUACUUUUUGUUUACAUUUUAAAAUCAUCUAACCAGCCGUCUCAUCAUUUAUUCUACAAAUACUUGUUGAAUGGCUACCACGUUUCAGGCGGUGCCCCUACUCUCUAAAAGAAUGGCGUGACCCUGACUUGAAGAAAGCUAAGCCUAGUGAGGAAAUAGACGGUAAUAAGGAAAUGUAGAAAAGAUAAUUCAAGACAGUUCUCAGAGUUAAGAAGAAUCAAAAAGGUCUUUAGUUAAAGAGUAACAGCAGAAGACUACUUUAGAUAGCAUAGCACUCAGCGCUUAAAUGCUCCAUAAAGCAAAGAAAACAAAACAAAAUAAAGUACUCCCAAAUGGAAUGCCUCACAACAAGCUCAGCUUUGCAAGUCAUUUGUGACUCAGCUGAUCUAAGCUGGGAUUUUCUGGGAAGCGCUGGGUUUGCGAGCUGAAGGCUGAGCUUAAUACUGCUCUGUAUUAGUCUGGUCUAGGGCCCAGGCUGGAAGUUCCAGCAGCCACUUGGAGAGGCUCUUUUCCUGAUAAAUCACCAGAGUGCAAAAGGGCCAAGUGAAACUGCACAAGCCAUUGCAGGCCUUUGCUUUUAUCAUGUCUACUGAUAUCUCAUUGGCCAAAUCAAAUCCUAUGGCCAAGUCCAGUGACAAUGGAGUGGAAAGUUACCCUCCACUCAUGGGGAUGGUGCUUGGAAGUAAAUAUUAUGCUGCAAAAUAUUUGACACUAUUGAUCAAGGCCUAUCUGAUCACUGAGUAGAAACUGCACAACUGUGAGCCAGAUUUGCUAAGACCACGGUAAGGUCUAGGGGUGAGAGUGAGGGACUUGAGCCAUUUCAAGCAGAGAAAAUAAUAAAUUCAAAAUUAUUAUCUAAAUUGUCAGUUGGUUGGAGUAGCAUGCCAGAUCUGAGCUGCGUCUGUGACCUACAGCACAGCUCACGGCAGCACUGGAUCCUUAACUCACUGAGCGGAUCCAGGAAUUGAACCUAUAUCCUCAUGGAUACCAAUUGGGUUAGUUACUGCUAGACACAAUGGAACUCCUAGACUUUCUGGUUUUUCAAAAUGAUAUUCAGUCCGAUGAUAAAGUUCUCUAAGAGUUAUCAGAAAUGUCAUUGGACUGCUUACAUUUUUAUCCAGGGUAGUACUUAGCUAAACCACGGAGCAGGUUUUAGGGGCAGUGGUAAUCAGAAAUAAAUUUGCUUUUAUGAUUAUACCCUUUGAAUCUUGUCCAGCCUAUCAGUUACACUAACAUUUAUUAAAUUAAAGAUAGCCAUCAAAGCAUUGUGUUAAGGGUUUUCUAGCUGUUACCUCAUUCCCAAGAACACAGUAAGGUAAUUACUAUUAUCCUCAUUUUCUGGAUGAACACAUCGAAGGCAAGGGAGGUCAAGUGAUUGCCCAAGGUCACAGAAUAAUAAAUGUCAAAGCUGGGAUUCAAGUUUAAUCCAGUCCAUCUGACUGUGAGUCUGUGCUCCUAGUGGGUCUGAUUUCUUUCCUGGUGAAAAGCCCUUGUAGUAUGUGUGGGGUGUGACUGCACUCUCCACAGCUCCGUAUCCAUCCCCCAGGCCAAGCAGGCCCAGAUUCUAAAGCUACAUUUGCAGGGCAUGAGUUCAGUCUUUCUCCAUCCCAGUCAUUCUCCUUACCUUCCCCCCAUUUAUCACGUGUGGCCCUUGUGUAUGUGUGGAUACUAAAAAUUACAUUCGAUCACAUGUGUGCAUGUGACUUAGCGGGGGUGUCCUUGCCUAACCAUCGCGGGGCCCUGGGAGUAGGGAAGGGCCUCUUGGAUGCACUUUCUGCAGGAUCCCAUCUCUUCCUGUGCUUUUCCCCAGACUGGCCAUGGAGGAUCCUCCCUGUAGGCGCCUGUGCAAGGCGUAUCAAUUACCUCUUUAUGUGGACCUCCAGUUCCUUGAAUUUGAUGAGCUGCAGGGAGAAUUGGAUAGUGGCAGACGUUAAACAGCAAUGACAACAACAGCUCAGUUUCCCCCAAAAACUCUCUAGUAAUACUGGAAAUAGUUUUGUCCUUUGGUUUCCCAAACAUUCACUUAUUUAUACACUUGUCCAUGCACUCAUUCACACAAAGAAAGCUUUACCGAGAGUCCCUGCUGCAUUAGGUCCUGCGAUGCAAGAAAGGAGAAGAGGAGUCCCCUGUCCUUGGGGAGCUCAGCUUCUAGACUGGGAAGUGGGUAUGUAAAUCAGUUGUCAUGCUCUGGUAAAAAAGUACUAAAUUGAGGUGUGAACCAGAUGCCAUGAGAACACCCAGGAAUAGGUAACUCAAAGUGUGCAGGAUGUCAAACUGUGUUAGUCAUGGCGUUGGGCCUAAAUUAGAAAACCAAAAAAACCCCCAGAAGCCAAAAAAAAAACCACACCCCCAAACUAUGAGAACCCUCCGUUUUGAAUUAUUCCUUUAUUUGACAGAAAUUUUUUUAUCUCCUGAAGGGCAAGGGGGGAUGAAUGCAGUGUCUUUGGUGCAGAAAGACCUGUUUGAUCUUGAAGCAAAUCACCCCAAGGAUUCCCCAUGAUUUUCAUAUUGUCCUUUUAUAAAGAGAGAUUUGGGUUACUGAGCCAGCGGGUCUGUCCCUGUGCCCGUCUGUCUCAGUCCCGCUGAUCCUUCUAGAGUGCUUUCUGGAAAGAGUGACCCGUUUGAUACCUUUGCCAUGUGCUGGCACAAGUAACCAAAUAGCUGCACAAAGAUAAGAGUUCAAGGGUAUUCGCUGAGGUGUUGCUUAUAACGACAAUAGGAAAUAUCCUAAAUAUCCAUCCACAGGGGAUUGAUUAAAUUCGUUCAGAACAUGCUGCAAUGUAAUGCCAAGCUGUUCUUUAAAAGAUGAAUAAGAUCUAUAUGUAUUAAUCAGGAAGAGUGUUAAUGAUACAUAAAGUAAAAAUUAAAAAGUGUAUUGAACUGUGUGUAAAUUAUUAUGGUUUUUUUCAUGUAAAUUAAUGUAUGCAUAAAAAUUCUGUUGGGAUGUAUUCCAAACUGAACAGAGGCUCUUGUGGAGGAAGGGGUAUGUGAAGUGCCUUGAAGGGAACUUCACUUUCUCUUUUAAGCACAUCUGUAUUUUUUGCAUUUUGAAUUAUUUUUAUAAGCAG
rnacentral:lncRNA from 1 species